rnacentral:rRNA from 1 species
GACGAACGCUGGCGGCGCGCCUAACACAUGCAAGUCGAACGGAGCUGAGAGGAGCUUGCUUUUCUUAGCUUAGUGGCGAACGGGUGAGUAACGCGUGAGUAACCUGCCCCUGGAGUGGGGGACAACAGUUGGAAACGACUGCUAAUACCGCAUAAGCCCACGGAUCCGCAUGGAUCUGCGGGAAAAGGAUUUAUUCGCUUCAGGAUGGACUCGCGUCCAAUUAGCUAGUUGGUGAGGUAACGGCCCACCAAGGCGACGAUUGGUAGCCGGACUGAGAGGUUGAACGGCCACAUUGGGACUGAGACACGGCCCAGACUCCUACGGGAGGCAGCAGUGGGGGAUAUUGCACAAUGGGGGAAACCCUGAUGCAGCGACGCCGCGUGGAGGAAGAAGGUUUUCGGAUUGUAAACUCCUGUCGUUAGGGACGAUAAUGACGGUACCUAACAAGAAAGCACCGGCUAACUACGUG